GGUGAACGCUAGUAGUAUGCUUAACACAUGCAAGUUGAACGAAAUUUAUUUCGUAGCGAACGGGUGAGUAGAAUACAGAACGGCUACUUUUUAGUUUAGAAUAAAAAUAUUUACAUUGUAAAUAUUCAAAUACUAAAUAUGCAAAAGGUUAUUUUAAAAAAUUUCCGCUAAAAGAUGUGUCUGUGUAAGAUUAGGUAGUUGGUAAAUUUAACAGCUUACCAAGCCGUCGAUCUUUAGUUGGUCUUAGAGGAUGAUCAACCACACUGGAACUGAAAUAAGGUCCAGGCUGAUUUUGCAGCCAGCAGUGAGGAAUAUUGGACAAUGAACGAAAGUUUGAUCCAGCAAUACUAUCUGAAUGAUGACGGCUUCUAACUUAGUGUUAGUUGUAAAGUUCUUUCGUUAAGAAUGAUAAUGACAUACUUAAAGAAGUUUUAGUCCCGGCUAAUACUCGUGCCAGCAGCCGCGGUAAUACGGGAGGGGCAAGCGUUAUCCGGCAUAACUGGGCGUAAAGGGUCCGUAGACGGUAAAAUAAGUUACUAGUUUUAAAUCUAAAAGCCUAACUUUUAGUCAGCUUGUAAUACUGUUUUACUCGAGUUUUAUACAGAAGAAUAGAAUUUUAUAUGAAAGGGUGAAAUCUCAAGAUAUAUAAAGGAAUAUCAGUGGCGAAAGCGAUUCUUUAAUAAGAACUGACGUUGAGGGACGAAAGUGUGGGUAGCAAACAGGAUUAGAUACCCUGGUAGUCCACACUGUAAAUUCUGAGUGCUGUAAUUUAAUGUAAGACAAAAUUCUUAUUUAGAUUUUUAAGCUAACGCCAUAAGCACUCCGCCUGAGGAGUACGAUCGCAAGGUUGGAACUCAAAGGAAUUGACGGGGGCUUAAUACUAGUGGUGGAGCAUGUGGUUUAAUGCGAUAAUCCGCGCAGAACCUUACCAAUUCUUGACAUAAUAAU
rnacentral:rRNA from 1 species